AUUGAACGCUGGCGGCAGGCCUAACACAUGCAAGUCGAGCGAGCGGCGGACGGGUGAGUAAUGUAUGGGGAACUGCCUGAUGGAGGGGGAUAACUACUGGAAACGGUAGCUAAUACCGCAUACCAUCGGAUGAACCCAUAUGGGAUUAGCUUGUAGGUGGGGUAACGGCUCACCUAGGCGACGAUCCCUAGCUGGUCUGAGAGGAUGACCACCCACACUGGAACUGAGACACGGCCCAGACUCCUACGGGAGGCAGCAGUGGGGAAUAUUGCACAAUGGGCGCAAGCCUGAUGCAGCCAUGUCGCGUGUAUGAAGAAGGCCUUCGGGUUGUAAAGUACGUUCAGCGGGGAGGCGUUACCGGCAGAAGAAGCACCGGCUAACUCCGUGCCAGCAGCCGCGGUAAUUC
rnacentral:rRNA from 1 species